rnacentral:piRNA from 1 species
UGAUCAUAGUAGUGGUUUGGCUUUCUGC